AGUUCAGAUUGCAGGCUGCAACUCGCCUGCAUGAAGUUGGAAUUGCUAGUAAUCGCGAAUCAGAAUGUCGCGGUGAAUACGUUCCCGGGCCCUGUACACACCGCCCGUCAAGCCAUGGGAGCCGGGGGUACCUGAAGUGCGUAACCGCGAGGAGCGCCCUAGGGUAAAACUGGUGACUGGGGCUAAGUCGUAACAAGGUAAC
rnacentral:rRNA from 1 species